rnacentral:rRNA from 1 species
UACAGAGGUCUCAAGCGUUGUUCGGAUUCAUUGGGCGUAAAGGGUGCGUAGGUGGCAGGGUAAGUCGGAUGUGAAAUCCCGGGGCUCAACCUCGGAUCGGCCGUGCGAACUGUCGAGCUGGAGCACUGUAGAGGCAGGCGGAAUUCCGGGUGUAGCGGUGGAAUGCGUAGAGAUCCGGAGGAAGACCGGUGGCGAAGGCGGUCUGCUGGGCAGUUUCUGACACUGAUGCGCGACAGCGUGGGGAGCAAACAGG